rnacentral:tRNA from 1 species
GGUUGUGGCUCAAUGAUAGAGCGCUUGCCUAGCACAUGCGAGGCCCUGGGUUCAAUCCUCAGCACCA